GGACCUAAAUCAUGGGAGGAUGUGUCAACCGAGGACCUUAGAAAAUGGCAGGAGGAAGUACUUGAGUGUAACAGAGGAAGUGAAAGGAAUGCAGAAAUGUCAAAGCAACAUAACAGUGAUUUUGAGGAUGGACAUUCAACGGGACAUCAGGAAUCUCCUGAGACCUCUUGUGUGAAUACAUCUGAUACAGGUG